CGCAGGAGAGUCAGCUGGGAAAUGUAGUUCUCCGCGUCCCGCUCCUCUCCACUGCGGUGCGGACGGUAGCGACUUUCGGGACCACGAGAUCCUCCAUAGCCGAAGACCGGAGGGAGGAAAAGGGCAGGAGAAAGAGAGGUCAUCCCCGCAGGCCUCCUGGCACCGAAAUAUCCAACUAUGCCGCUGGAUACAGUAUUCCUCCACUCCGACGGUGUGAAAGUGCCCGACAGUGCUUAGAGGAGCAUCGUUAACUCAGCCAGGGGAGUCAAGGGAGAACAUCAAGAAGCUCUACUGGAAGGAUGUCUUGAAUAUAGCCCAAGUCUCCAGGAUAUUUUGUUCUUUCUCUGAUCUCUGCCUGUCUCAAACCUGUUUGUGAAAACCAGACUUGGGGAACUCUA